rnacentral:lncRNA from 1 species
CUCAUGACUCACGAACUGACCAUGAAGCAACACUCUGAGGAGAAGAUCAGAAGAAAGAAGACUAUUGCUCUCAAGUCGACAGUUCAAGAAGAAGAAGAUACAGAAAAAUCAAAGAAUAGCAAGGAAGAUGAGGAUUUGGGCCUAAUCACCAGAAAGUUUAGACGCUUCAUGAGAAGAAAGAGACAAGGGAGUAAGAGAAGACCAC